rnacentral:rRNA from 1 species
AGAGUUUGAUCCUGGCUCAGGACGAACGCUGGCGGCGCGCCUAACACAUGCAAGUCGAACGGAGCUUAGAGAGCUUGCUUUUUAAGCUUAGUGGCGAACGGGUGAGUAACGCGUGAGUAACCUGCCCUAGAGUGGGGGACAACAGUUGGAAACGACUGCUAAUACCGCAUAAGCCCACGGUGCCGCAUGGUACUGAGGGAAAAGGAUUUAUUCGCUUUAGGAUGGACUCGCGUCCAAUUAGCUGGUUGGUGAGGUAACGGCCCACCAAGGCGACGAUUGGUAGCCGGACUGAGAGGUUGAACGGCCACAUUGGGACUGAGACACGGCCCAGACUCCUACGGGAGGCAGCAGUGGGGGAUAUUGCACAAUGGGGGAAACCCUGAUGCAGCGACGCCGCGUGGAGGAAGAAGGUUUUCGGAUUGUAAACUCCUGUCGUUAGGGACGAUAAUGACGGUACCUAACAAGAAAGCACCGGCUAACUACGUGCCAGCAGCCGCGGUAAAACGUAGGGUGCAAGCGUUGUCCGGAAUUACUGGGUGUAAAGGGAGCGCAGGCGGGAAGACAAGUUGGAAGUGAAAACCAUGGGCUCAACCCAUGAAUUGCUUUCAAAACUGUUUUUCUUGAGUAGUGCAGAGGUAGAUGGAAUUCCCGGUGUAGCGGUGGAAUGCGUAGAUAUCGGGAGGAACACCAGUGGCGAAGGCGGUCUACUGGGCACCAACUGACGCUGAGGCUCGAAAGCAUGGGUAGCAAACAGGAUUAGAUACCCUGGUAGUCCAUGCCGUAAACGAUGAUUACUAGGUGUUGGGGGAUUGACCCCCUCAGCGCCGCCAGUUAACACAAUAAAGUAAUCCACGUGGGGAGUACGACCGGCAAGGUUGAAACUCAAAGGAAUUGACGGGGGCCCGCACAAGCAGUGGAGUAUGUGGUUUAAUUCGAAGCAACGCGCAGAACCUUGUCAGGUCUUGACAUCCGAUGCAUAUCACAGAGAUGUGUGAAAUCCUUCGGGACAUCGAGACAGGUGGUGCAUGGUUGUCGUCAGCUCGUGUCGUGAGAUGUUGGGUUAAGUCCCGCAACGAGCGCAACCUUUAUUGCCAGUUACUACGUUACGAGGACUCUGGCGAGACUGCCGUUGACAAAACGGAGGGAGGUGGGGAUGACGUCAAAUCAUCAUGCCCCUUAUGACCUGGGCUACACCCGUACUACAAUGGCGUUAAACAAAGAGAAGCAAGGCCGCGAGGUGGAGCAAAACUCAAAAACAACGUCUCAGUUCAGAUUGCAGGCUGCAACUCGCCUGCAUGAAGUCGGAAUUGCUAGUAAUCGCGGAUCAGCAUGCCGCGGUGAAUACGUUCCCGGGCCUUGCACACACCGCCCGUCA